rnacentral:rRNA from 1 species
UACAGAGGGGGCAAGCGUUGCUCGGAAUUACUGGGCGUAAAGGGUGCGUAGGCGGCGCGGUAAGUCGGGUGUGAAAUCUCGGAGCUUAACUCUGAAACUGCAUUCGAUACUGCCGUGCUUGAGGACUGGAGAGGAGACUGGAAUUUACGGUGUAGCGGUGAAAUGCGUAGAUAUCGUAAGGAAGACCAGUGGCGAAGGCGGGUCUCUGGACAGUUCCUGACGCUGAGGCACGAAGGUCAGGGGAGCAAACGGG